GGGAGACCAUUGCCAGCUGAUUCUGUGCCAAGAGUUACAGUACAAACGAAUACAGCAGUUCAUGUGCCUUGUACUGCUCCACCAGAUCAAUAUGUGAAGUAAGACUGGCUUCCACCAGCCUGAUCAGUGCCUUGUCAGAAACCACCUCCAUGGUGAUGCUGGGCUCAGCUCACAGCAGCAGAGAGUAAAACCAGCUCGGGGAUUACCUUUCCUUAUCCAAGGAGUGGCUGGGACGGACAAUUUGAAUAAUCACCGGGGCCAGGCUGCAGCUGCCAGGGACCUGGGAACUCCUGCGCUUGGAAUCGCCCUGCCCGCAGCCACAGCUGAGGAACAGACAUUUCCCUGCUCCGGGUGA
rnacentral:lncRNA from 1 species